GCAUGGCUGAAUACUGUGUUCUUUUUAUCAGUAGUUUACACAGCCAGACACCAUGCAAAAGUAUAGUCUUCCCUUUAAAGUGAGUAUGAUGGUAUGCUAAGUUUUCUUCAUAGCAUAUCAUUAUUAAAGGUGAAUACAAAU
rnacentral:snoRNA from 1 species